ACUAUCCUUUUCACAUGUCCUGUCCAAUGGAGCUGAUGCCAUAUAAACAUGGCUUCAAUGUUGGCAGUGUUUGCUUGAGCCAGAAAGCUGGCAUUCAUUCUUCUCUCCUUCCACUUGAUAUGGAGGAUUUUCUGAAGACAUUGCUGAUGAUAACGUUCCAAAGCUUUCAGAUGUUUCUAAUAUGUCUUCCAAGUUUCAUACCCAUACAGCAGG